UGUAGCGUUUAGUUGACGCUUCGAAUGGCAGAUAACAUAGAGAAACGUAAUAGAGACACUGAUAUACACAAACAUUUUACACAGAUGUCGCAAGAAACAAAAACUAUCAUAGAUCGUACUGAACACGAUUGGCACAGGUAGUUUGUUCAACAGUCUCCAACAGACAAGAGUGAGAACGGUCUAUGUGAGAGUUUCAUCAUCCUUUAUUUUACAUAAAUCACAUCUUUCAGGUAAAUCAAUAAAACCGUAAAACUACAAAAGAAAAAAAAGAAAGAAAGAAAGAGGACUUACGAAUUUUGGAAGUUGAUCGAUAACAUAUUGAUUGAAUUGAGAACAUCGACAACGAAUUUGAAGAAUGAUCGAUCGAAUAAAACUCGUCAUAAGUAGCGUCGAGUUUUCGAACAAAUCAUAACCGUAUCUUGGUCUUUGCGGUUUAACAUAUCCAAACCAAGGUCGGGGGCUAGUAAUAUCGUCUAUCGUUGCUUGAAAAGCUAACGAAGAAAGCCGAGUCGAUCAGUAACGGCGCUGACAGCAGGUAGAACGAAAGAACGGGAUUCAGAAGGACAAGCAUAGACAACGUUUAUAUCUCUACGAAAAUAAAGAGUAGAAGAAAGAAAAGAAAAAAGAA